rnacentral:rRNA from 1 species
UACGUAGGCAGCGAGCGUUGUUCGGAAUUACUGGGCGUAAAGAGUGUGUAGGCGGUGCUCUAAGUUCGGUGUGAAAUCUCCUGCUUAACUGGGAGGGUGCGCCGGAAACUGGGGUGCUCGAGCGUGGGAGAGGAAAGCGGAAUUCCUGGUGUGAGCGGUGAAAUGCGUAGAUAUCAGGAGGAACACCUGUGGUGUAGACAGCUUUCUGGACCAUUGCUGACGCUUGAGGACAUCGAAAGCGUGGGUAGCAAACAGGA